ACAGUGUAAAAGAAAAAAAAAUGAAAAAGGAAAAAGGCUGAAGGACUUACCUACCAAAGGCGCCGCCGGGUUCUGUAAACGUCGUCGUUUGUGAAUACCCUACAUAAAUUACCAUGAACGUUAUGCAGAGGAAAUUGAGCGAGUUAGAAAGGUAUUGAAAUGAAAGCAAUGGCGUCGUUAUUCUCUGCAACUGCAACCGUUAUUCCUCGAAACCUCGCCGUCGCUUCUUCCGCCAAACACCCCGUCGGUCAUUCUCUUCCUAAUUCUUAUUCUCCGCCCUUCCUCUCAUUCCCCACUUCCAAAUCAAACCCUCGCAUUCGCCUCACCGCUUCUCUCCAAUCCCCACCCGCCCACGCCAGCGCGUCUUCCUCUCCCUCCGCCACCUUCCACGGCCUCUGCUAUGUUGUCGGCGACAACAUCGACACCGACCAGAUCAUCCCCGCGGAAUACCUCACCCUCGUUCCUUCCAAGCCCGACGAGUACGAGAAGCUCGGCUCCUACGCCCUAGUCGGCCUCCCCGCCUCCUACGCCACGCGUUUCGUUGAACCCGGCGAGACCAAGACCAAGUAUGCCAUCGUCAUCGGCGGCGCCAACUUCGGCUGCGGCUCCUCCCGCGAGCACGCGCCCGUCGCGUUGGGCGCCUCCGGCGCUGCCGCCGUUGUCGCGGAGUCGUACGCGCGGAUCUUUUUUCGGAACUCGGUGGCCACAGGCGAGGUGUACCCGCUGGAGUCGGAGACCCGCCUGUGCGAGGAGUGCCGCACCGGUGAUGUUGUCACGAUUGAGCUCGGAGAGAGCCGCUUGAUCAAUCACACCACUGGAAAGGAGUAUCGGUUGAAGCCGAUCGGCGACGCGGGUCCGGUGAUUGAGGCUGGUGGCAUCUUUGCCUAUGCGAGGAAGUCCGGCAUGAUUCCCUCUCGUUAGUGUUCUCCAGGAACUAAUCAAAAGGUUAGUGCACAGCCAACCAACGUGGUAUUGAGACUGUGGUGCAUGGUGGGGAUGUGGGAUGUUAGGAUCCAAUUGUUAGGUGGGAGUUGAGUCCUACGUUUGAGGUUCUAUAUUUUCUUUUGGGAUUCUAACAUCUUCCGUGUCCAUUCCACCACAUCUAUUGGACUGGCAAAUUUUUACCUUCUAGAUAGAUCUUGUCGUGGCAGUAGAUAUUUGGGGAAGCUGGAAGCGUUCGUGGAUUUGUUGGAACUGUGUCACUUUGGCAGCAACUACCCGAUUAUUUGAGUAUUUGCAACUUAUUGCCUUCUCGAUGCAUUUUUUUUUUAAUCUUAGUAUGCAGUUUAGACAUUUGACAGUUCACAGAUAGGCUACUGCUUUGUCUUUCUAAGGUGAAAGUAAUUUGGAUGAAGAUUAGUACUGUAGUUUGGCUUUAGAAUUAUUUUUCUACUUGGGAAAAUAUGAUGUCAAAGUUUGGAUGAAUGUAGCAUCAGCAGGAACUUUAGUAUAUUAUAGUUUGUAAUUCUUGCUUUACGCAUGCUGAUUUGAGAAGUUUGUUUUUAAAUAAUAUAAUACGGGUGGGUUGGAAUUUUAAA